rnacentral:rRNA from 1 species
UACAGAGGGGGCAAGCGUUAUUCGGAAUUAUUGGGCGUAAAGAGCUCGUAGGCGGUUCGGCAAGUCAGCUGUGAAAUCUCCACGCUCAACGUGGAGGGGUCAGCUGAUACUGCUGUGACUUGAGUCCGGUAGGGGAGUGUGGAAUUCCCGGUGUAGUGGUGAAAUGCGUAGAUAUCGGGAGGAACACCAGUGGCGAAGGCGACUACCUGGCCUGUUCUUGACGCUGAGGCGCGAAAGCUAGGGGAGCAAACGGGG